CCAGAAGAAGGAAGGGGAGCGUCCAUGUACCAGCAAUGCAGAUACAGACCUUGAAACAGAAGAUACAAGACGGCACCUCAGACAGAGGUUCCCAGCUGCUGCUACUUCCAAAAGAAGUAAAAGGUAAAGACAGACAAAUGAAGAAACUGGCUACCACCUACCUGCACUUGUGCCAGGCCCAUCACAGAACAGGAGAGGGAUAAGAGCCAUGUUUCUAUUGUAAGUUUUCAUUUUCUAUGUAUUUUCCUCAGCAAGAAGUUCAGAAUUUUUCAGAAGUGGCUCAGUGAUGUACUGGUGAAUUCCAUUAUGACACUAAGUAAAUAUUAACUUUAGAUAGUGCUGCCAAGGUUUUUAAAAAGCAAAACACAAAACCCAUGGUCCCUGCCCCAAAGAGCUUACAAUCAACAUAAGACAAACACUGAAAAUGAAGGUAAUAUCCCAAGGAAGUAAUAGGGAAAGGAGUGACUAGGGUUAAAACAAAAAGACAGGAGUUCAUUUAUAAUAUAAGAGUUAAAUAUUUCUUUAGUUUAAAAAGAGUGAGCCACAGAUAACACAGGAGUAGAGAAGAAGGAGAAAGGAAUGGGUUUGGAAGGAAGUUUGUGCACAGAGAGAAGGAUAGGAGUACUUGUGGCACCUUAGAGACUAACAAAUUUAUUUGAGCAUAAGCUUUCAUGAGCUACAGCUGCAUCCGAUGAAGUGAGCUGUAGCUCAUGAAAACUUAUGCUCAAAUAAAUUUGUUAGUCUCUAAGGUGCCACAAGUCCUCCUUUUCUUUUUGCGGAUACAGACUAACACGGCUGCUACUCUGAAACCUGUCAGAGAGAAGGAUGUAAUUUCAGGGAACUGCAAAAAGGCAAAAGUGGAAAGAGACAAUGUGAACAAGGCAGGAAGAAUGGGGUAGACUGUGGAGCAUAGGAUUAGGAGUAACAGGAGGAAAGUUAUAGGGAAGGCAAAGCCUUACAAAUAAAAACCUGGAGCUUCAGCUUUAUGUGGAAAGAACUAUGGAGCUAGAGAAGAGACCAAAGCUGGUGUGCAGUAUGGCAGCUGUAUUCCUCCCAUUCCUUAUUUUUCUUACAGAUGCAAUUUUCUAUAUUGCUACUGUGUCCAUAAAGAGCCCCAUUCUGGGCUUUCAAGGACUAUGGUCUUUUAGUUGCCGGAGUUGCCAUUUUGUGAUCCGGGAAGAUUGUCAUUUCCUGCUUCAGUCUCCUUUUGUGAAUGGCGCAUGAAAAGUUCUCUUUUGAUGUUUCUUACAAUCGAGAUUUUUCUGUACCCAACUCAGAGCCUGAGCCAAAGCCCACUACUGUCAAUGGAUGUCUUCAUUGAUGUCAGUAAGCUUUGCAUCACAUACUAACACAUCUCAGUUCCUAACUUCUGAUUUAUAUUCAUUGCAAUCAACUCCCCCUUUCUUCCCUUUGCUUAUAUAUAUUACAGCUGCUUUCACUUCCUGUCUUAACUAGGCUGUUUUUUAAACCAACACAGCCUUAUUCCUCAGUUGUGGCUUUUGGGCCAUCUAAUUAAGGUGUUCUUAAAUGAUUCCAAAUUAUCAUUUACAUUUUUCUGAUUAAAUUCUUUCUCCCAGCUGAUCUGCCUCAAAAUUGUUUUCUCGCUCUGUGAAAUUGCCCCUAUUAAAGCACCAAGUACCUAUGCUACCAUUAACUUUUAGUUCUGAGAUCAGUUCCUCUUCUAAGACAAGGUCUAAUAUAGAAUUCCUCCAUGUUGGCUGCAACAUUUGUUGAUUUGGGAAAUUGUCAUCUAUUAUGUUUAGAAAUUCUAAGGACCUUUUAGUACUGACAGCAUGAAACCUCCAGCAUAUGUCACCCAAAUUAAUAUCCUCCCAUGACCACACAGCUUUUUCCCCUACACGUUGUAGAUACAUGCGUAAGGAAGUAAGUGGUCAUUCUGUUCCAUAGUGUGAUUUGGUGGUCUGUAACAGAUACCAACUAGUACCCCAUCUUGUGCUUUAUCUGUUAUGGAACAACACUCUAAGCAUUCAGUUUCUUUCAAGUAUCAGUGACUUGAAACAGGUAAUGUCAUUUUUGAUGCAGAGUUCCAUUCCCCUCCUGCCCUUUUGCCCACUUGUUCCUUUCUAAAUAGGUUAUAAUAAUUAAUGUUAACAUUCCAAUUGUGUGAAUCAUCCCAUCAGGUUUCAGUAAUACCAACUAGAUUGAAUUUAUGCUCAUAAAUGAACAAUUCCAGUUCCUCUUGUUUAUUUUGCAGGCUCCUAGCAUUGGUGUAUAAUUCUCAUUUAGCAAUUGGUGGUGAAUUUUUCUGAAAGAAAAAAAACACUCUUUUAUUUCUGGCAGAUUGGCUCAUUCAGGUGGUAAACUGAGCUAGAGCAUUCCUUCCUAAGAAUUGUCUUUUUUGCAUAUGCUAACAGCAGGAACCCAUCUUCCAUGGAGAUAACUGGAGUCAACUGAAUCCCUUUUGGUUUGAACCUGUGAGCUCAGCACCCUCAACUCCCAAUGAAGCCAUUGGGAGAAACGGGAAAAUUUAAAUUAAAAUGGUUAUACUGUUUCCAAGAAUGAGGAUAAGGGAAAAUACACUGAUUUUGCCCAUUUUAAAAAAAAAUUCUGGCAACCUGUUUUCUGAGCUCUAGUGCCCCCUUAUUUUGGAGCAGGGAUAUGAAAUUUGGCAGGAAGUGACUUUUGUGUCAGAUUGCCAUCCCCGUGAAAAUCCGCCAAAAUCUGGCUGAAUUAGAAGGCUUUGAAAAAUUGCAGCUUGCACUCUAGAAUUUUGCUACAGUUUUGCACCUAAAUUCCGUGAAGAUUCCAUCUGCAUUGGGUAUGCAGGACUUUCCCCCUACAAUUACAGUUCCGGGCUGCUGUGGGCCUACUACCAAAACUAACAGCAGGAUGCCUUUGUUUCCUGUGUUCUGAAUGUCCACCAUUCUGGGCCCAGGCACCAUGGAGAAAGCUGCCCAGUUUGAAUGUAAAGGGGACAAGAGCUGUACUGGGAGGGGUGGACUAGUGGGAGUAGAUUUGAACAAGGAGCCUUGUGGGGAAAGAGGGAAACUGGGUGUUGGGGAGAAACUAAGACUUGUUGGGCAAGGAGAUUUGCUUGGGUGAGUGGAAUGAGGAGUCUGAAGAGUGGAGACUGGUACUGGCUAGGUAAGGAGAACAGGACUGGGACAAGAAGCCAGGGGGUUUGAGGGGAUGGGGCAGAAGUAGUCAAGCUUGGGGGGAAAUGGGCAAAAUAAUCUGUGCCCAUCUGUCAUUGUGAUGCCACUUGAUGGAAUUUGUAUUUUUACAGUUAGCGUUUGUGCAUAUAAUUUACAGGGGCGGGCAUCCUUAAUUUGUCCUCUCCCCCAUCUCCAGUGUAUUCAGUGGGAUAUAGUCUUUAAUUACAUGAUCAUAUACCAUUUUUUCCACAGCCCCCUGCCUCAUUCAGUGCACAGAAUGGACAGUGCUCACUUAUGGGGAGCUAUUCAAUGUUUUGUUUUCUCCUCAUUGUUCAAUAUGUGACUCCAUGUCUAAUUUAGUGCACUGUAUUCAGACCCUGCUCUGAAGACAGAAAUAUUAAUCUCUUCAUGGGCUUUUCCAUGGCACUAAUCUCUAUAUUAUCUGCGUGCUUCACAAACAUUAAUGAAUUUAUCUUCACAACACCCCUGUGAGGUGAGCGAGUAUUAUCCCUAUUUUACAGAUGAGGUACUGAGGCACAGAGUUUAAGGUUAAAAAAAUCCAUUAAUUUUGGGUGCCCCUGUUGAAACACCUAGGACCUGAUUUUCUUCAAAGUAUAUAGCAAUACAUUCAAAGCACAGCUCCUGUUGACACAGUUACAGCUGUGAGUGCUCAGCACUUCUGCAAGUUAAACCCACAGGUCUCAAGUCAUGCACCCAGAAAAUGAGGAAUAUAGUUAGUGACCACCUGUGCAAAGUUUGGUCCAAGUGUCAUGCCUCACAUCCCAUACAAACUCUGGAAGAGGUAGAAAUAGAAUCUAGUUCUCCAGGGUGGCAAUUAAUCAUCCUCAUUCUUCCUGCAGUUCUGUGUCUCAUUCAAUAACAUGUUUCAUCUUCUGCAACAAAUGAAGCAGGGGUACUAUGGACAAGUCUCCUUGACCACAAUCCUUAUGCCUCACCAGAGAAAGCUCCAUCCUGACCACUCAAUGAAGCAGGAGUACUAUGGAAAAAAAUAGUAUGUGAUCAUGUAAUUAAAGACUUUGUCUUAAUGCAGAUGCACAAGGGGGCUGAAUUAAGGUUGCACAGGCAACCUUAAUUUUGGCAUUUCCUAGCUUUUCAGUGCUUGAUUUUGCAAUGUUCAUAUUCUUUUAACAUAGUUUCUGUUUGUGUGUAUGUGUGUCUGUACAGAAUUUACUGCCUAGUGAUGAACAGUCCAUAUUAUCCUUAUGGUCCUGCUCAACCACAUCCUACAUGUUUAUUCUUUAGUUCAUCACGCCAAAGAUUUAUAUCAUCACAACUAAUAUCUGCCUAGUCUUGGUCAUAAUACAGGAGUGAAUAAAACUUCCCAAUAAAGGAAAGAAAACUGAACUCUAUUGGCAUACACAUAUCAAGAAACCACUGGUACCUUAAAACCUUUGCCACAACUGUGAAGUCUCUUGCCACUUUCUGAAGCACCACAGUAAGUGCUGUUUGGGAUCAUGGAAGUUUUACAUGACUCAGUCCUCCCAGCUGGAGUUUAUUUUGUCAAUAGGCAUCUAUGUGGGAGGCCAGAAUCUCAUUGUAACAGAGUAAACUGUCACAGGGGAAAAAGGAAGGAAAAAAAACCCCAGCCCUUUAAGAAGUGAGACUUACCAAGAAGCAGACUGUAGAUAGUUUGUGACUACCACAGGAAUUAGAACUAGGAUGUGGUCUAUCUGGCUUCAAUAGGUCAUUAAUCCUCAGCAAAGCCUGCUGGGAGUAGGAGGGUUCUGGGGCCUUUGCAAUAUAGGCUUGGCAGGAGGAGAAACAAUGCCAAGUAAAGGCAGGCUCUUAAGAGAAUACACCUCUACCCCGAUAUAACACGGUCCUCGGGAGCCAAAAAAUCUUACCGCGGUAUAGGUGAAAACGCGUUAUAUCAGACUUGCUUUGGCCUCGAGCAUUUCUGUUAUUAAUACAGUAUUUGACACAAAAAGUUUUAUUCUUGGUAUUUUAGAAAGGGCGCAUCUGAUGUCGUCCUUCACAUCAUGCCCGGGAUCGGGGCUUGCAGCCACGCGUCCCUGUUGGGGUCAGGGCUCACAGCCCAGUGCAGGGGUUAGGGCUCGCAGCCGUGCACCAGGGUCAGGGCUUGCAGCCACGUGUCCCUGUCGGGUUUGGGGCUCGCAGCCUGGCACCAGGGUCGGGGCUCACAGCCACACGUCCCUGUCGGGAUUGGGGCUCACAGCCUGGCACAGGGGUCGGGGUCAGGACUCACAGCCACGUGCCAGAGUCGGUGCUCGUAGCCCCACAGAUCCACAUAGGAGUCGGGGCUCACAGCCCGGCACUCGGGUCGGGGCUCACAACUAGCAGCCGCACGCUGGGGUCGAGGCUCAUGACCCCCCCCACAUAACCGGGUUGUGACCCCCAGUUUGAGAACCAAUGUUGUAGAUAAGACAGAAAACCAUUUUUGCUUUACCGCAUUAUAUCUGAAUUCUUGUUAUAUUGGAUCGCAUUAUACUGGGGUAGAGGUGUAUUAAGAAUAACAUUCAGGGUAAGAAAUGCAGUUCCAAGGAUCCUGAGAAGAUUAAACCUGUGGGGACACUUCGGUAGAGGCCUGAAGAGAUUCUCUUGCUUGAAAAAGUUACAGAAGAAGGUACUGAAUUUUGAAACACUGCGUGGGACCUGUCUCCCUAUAGAAACUUUGGACUUCCCAGAAAGCAAUGACUUUGAUCACACUUGAAGCACAAUGAUCAUGGGGAAACAGGACUGAAAGUGACUGUAAAAU